UCUUAACCCUGGAAGUACAGCCAAGAGACACAAAGACACUGCCUGCCCUCACGGAGUUCCUAUUCUGGAGUGGGAGCCUGAGACAGUAAGACCCCUGGGACUCAGGGCCUGGCUAGGAACCCUGGUUGGAAUCGCUACGUUAGGAGUUGGAGAACGUUUCCGGAUCUGUGGAUGUACAGUUUAAGGUCUCGGUGUUGGCAGGAAGCAGGAGUGAGACUGCUAGCCAGCGUAGAGCCAGGCUUCAAGAACACCGGUGAGUCUUAAUAGAUUCCUGUGUGGACUAAACCAAAGUUGAAAGAAGUAAACAAAAAAAGAGACUUUUCAAAAAAAGGUAAAUGAAGAAUUCUGAGAACAAGCGAAGACGUAAGAAAGGAAAGAAAAAGUCAAAUAGCUUGAGAAAGAGGUGUAGGAGUACUGAAUCAAGGAACAUGAAUCCGCAGUUUGAUCAUGAGUUCCAGCAUUCCCUGCACUCUGUUCAAAGGCAGAGAGAGGGCCAUCCCCACUACCAUCUCUACCAGCACUACCUUUACCUGGAAGACUUCCUCUUCUUCCCCCCAACUUUCCCUGGAAUAAGUUAUGAAUCAUCAUUACCAUUAUUACCUUUGUUCCAGGAUCAGCGCUUCUACCACUACUUUUAUUGGGGGAUCUUCUACUCCGGGUUAAUAACUUUCCUUAACUUCUGAAAUGAAGCACAAAUAAAUGUGUAAAUCUGAA